rnacentral:pre_miRNA from 1 species
UGAGGUAGUAGAUUGUAUAGUUUUAGGGUCAUACCCAGUCUCGGAGAUAACUAUACAAUCUACUGUCUUUC